UGGUGGGCUGUCUGUUGGGGUCUAUGCACAGGAUUUCUGCUGGAGUUCUAAGGACAAAAAGUUGAAACUGUUGGCAGAAACCCAAAGUCAAUAUUGAAGCCAAGCAAAAUAUUGCCUGCAGUGCCACAUUAGAACAGCUUGAAGACCGUUCAUUUUUAAGUGACAAGAGACUCACCUCCAAGAAGCAAUUGUGUUUUCAGAAUGAUUUUAUUCAAGCAAGCAACUUAUUUCAUUUCCUUGUUUGCUACAGUUUCCUGUGGAUGUCUGACUCAACUCUAUGAAAACGCCUUCUUCAGAGGUGGGGAUGUAGCUUCCAUGUACACCCCAAAUGCCCAAUACUGCCAGAUGAGGUGCACAUUCCACCCAAGGUGUUUGCUAUUCAGUUUUCUUCCAGCAAGUUCAAUCAAUGACAUGGAGAAAAGGUUUGGUUGCUUCUUGAAAGAUAGUGUUACAGGAACCCUGCCAAAAGUACAUCGAACAGGUGCAGUUUCUGGACAUUCCUUGAAGCAAUGUGGUCAUCAAAUAAGUGCUUGCCAUCGAGACAUUUAUAAAGGAGUUGAUAUGAGAGGAGUCAAUUUUAAUGUGUCUAAGGUUAGCAGUGUUGAAGAAUGCCAAAAAAGGUGCACCAGUAACAUUCGCUGCCAG
rnacentral:lncRNA from 1 species